AAAUCUGAGGUAGGCAAAUCUCGGGGAUGCAGCCCGCGAGUUGGCCUCUGUUUUGCACCUGGAGGAGGAGCUGAGGCGUUCUGGGCAUCCUACAGAAACUGACAAGCGCUCCCCUGUAACCCCCAAAUCCAUACAACGGCCCAAAGGGAGCAGGCGGAAGAAAGGGCUCAGGCUCUCCGGCCCCGAAGUCCAAAAAUACCUUCAUUUCCUCAUUGAUCUCCCUUUUCACUGGGCAAAAUGAUAUCUGGGACUUGCUUCAAAAUAUUCCAGCAUUGUUGGGAAGAGGAAUGAAAAAUGUGGAUAACUGUUGAAACUGGAUAAUAAGUACAGGCCAGCAGAAGGCAGAGAAGACAGUAAAUGAAGUCCAGUGGCACUUGACCGGCUUCAGGAUCCUGAAAAAAGUGAAGCAGGAACUGUGACCAUCUUUUGUCAGCUUGCUGACUUCAGAACAACCCCAGUCCCAGGGAGAAGGUGUCCCUGUUUGAGGCUGGAGGUUUCCACAGGUUGGAGAGUGACCACUCUAACCUUCAGGGUUGCCCACACCGAGGACCUCUUCUUUUGCUACUUUCUAGGAGUAAAUGUCAUGUAUGGAAAUUUUCUUUCAGCAUCUCCCACUUUCCUAUAUUCUCAUGGGUGAUUUUGCCACCCACCCCUCAUCCCUGACCCAGGGGACUUUUGACUAUGUUCUUGGAUAAACCUGGCCAUCACACUUAGAGAGGGGUACUGCUGACAUCUGGUGAGGUGAGUAGAGGCCAGGGAUGCUGCAAAACAUCUUACCAUGCACAGGACAACCUUCACCUCCCCCCUACCUCCCAUACCAAAGGGUUAUCUGGUCCAAAUGGCAUUAAUGCCAAGGUAAGGAACCCUGCUGUAGUCUUUCUUUGUGCACACAUUCCCAGACAUCCUCAAAAUGACUCUUACCAGUGGCAGAGGAAGGGCAGAACCACAGACACUCCUUGUCUUUGUACCUUCAAAAGUCACUAGCAAUUCAAAACUCUCUUUAGUCAGCCUCUAAGGAGUUAUGUAUUUAUCUGAAAGAUUAAAUAAUAUACUAUUUUAACCUUCUAAAAACCAAUUAUCACUAGGUAUAAUGCAACCUUUUAACCAUAAGAAUAAAGGAAAGUGUUGAUUAUUUAAAGUAAAUGGGACCAAAAGUCCCAUGAAUAAUCAAAAACUUGGUUAAUAGAGUAUGACCAGAGAAUAAUGCACUUGGCUUCUGUGGAGAAAUUAAAGUACAUGCUGUGAAUUGGUAUUAAGGAAAUUACAUGAAAAGUUAGUCUUAAAGUACCAUGAUUCUGAAGAAACAGCCUCAGGAGGACAAUAUAUCACAUUGUCUGUCUCCCCUCAUUUUUCAUGACCUUUUUCACCUUGGAUAACCCAGAAGCUCAGGCCUUGGAACUUUUUGGAAUUUUAAGUUAUCUCACUGUCCAUAUUUAUUUUCAUUUGGAACAGACCUGAAUUUUAUUGCUGGGAGUGUGUUAUCUCUUUCACAGGAAUUGUUUUUGAACUUCGGCUUGCCUUAUUUAUUUAGCAGGCAUAGACUGUUUAAUACUUAUGAGCAUAAUUCACUUCAUCUAAAAUGUAGCAAUGUACCCCUGAAAGGCUAUGCUUAGACAGAAUUUUUGGAAAUAAAAUUGGAUUCUUAAA
rnacentral:lncRNA from 1 species